GACGAACGCUGGCGGCGUGCUUAACACAUGCAAGUCGAACGGAAAGGCCCUGCUUUUGUGGGGUGCUCGAUUGGCGAACGGGUGAGUAACACGUGAGUAACCUGCCCUUGACUUUGGGAUAACUUCAGGAAACUGGGGCUAAUACCGGAUAGGAUCUCCUGCUGCAUGGUGGGGGUUGGAAAGUUUCGGCGGUUGGGGAUGGACUCGCGGCUUAUCAGCUGGUUGGUGGGGUAGUGGCUUACCAAGGCUUUGACGGGUAGCCGGCCUGAGAGGGUGACCGGCCACAUUGGGACUGAGAUACGGCCCAGAAGCCUACGGGAGGCAGCAGGGGGGAAUAUUGCACAAUGGGCGGAAGCCUGAUGCAGCAACGCCGCGUGCGGGAUGACGGCCUUCGGGUUGUAAACCGCUUUCGCCUGUGACGAAGAGUGAGUGACGGUAAUGGGUAAAGAAGCAACGGCUAACUACGUG
rnacentral:rRNA from 1 species